rnacentral:rRNA from 1 species
UACGAAGGGUGCAAGCGUUACUCGGAAUUACUGGGCGUAAAGCGUGCGUAGGCGGUUUGUUAAGUCUGUUGUGAAAGCCCCGGGCUCAACCUGGGAAUGGCAAUGGAUACUGGCAAGCUAGAGUGCGGUAGAGGGUAGUGGAAUUCCCGGUGUAGCGGUGAAAUGCGUAGAGAUCGGGAGGAACACCAGUGGCGAAGGCGGCUCACUGGCCCGGUACUGACGCUGAGGUGCGAAAGCGUGGGGAGCAAACAGG